AAUGAACGUUGGCGGCGUGGAUUAGGCAUGCAAGUCGCGCGACAAGGAACCUUCGGGUUCUGGAGGAGCGGCAAACGGGGUAGUAAGGCAUCGGAACGUACCCUCUUGUUGGGAAUAGCCGCGGGAAACUGCGAGUAAUGCCCAAUAAUCCCUACGGGGCAAAGGUCCGCCGCAGGAGGAGCGGCCGAUGUGAUACCAGCUAGUUGGUGAGGUAAUGGCUCACCAAGGCUUAGACGUCUAGGGGGUGUGAGGGCAUGGGCCCCCCACCACUGGGACGUGAGAUACUGCCCACGACACCUACGGGUGGGCUGCAGUCGAGAAUCUUCGGCAAUGGGCGCAAGCCUGACGAGCAACGCCGCGUGCGGGAUGAAGG
rnacentral:rRNA from 1 species